GAGAUGUGCACCCCACAUCUCUUUGCUCGAGUACUGGUCCGCAAGAUGGGUGCUUGUUCGUGUGCCCCACCCCACCCCCACGCCCGAGGCCGGGUGCGGCACCUCCGCCCGCCAGCCGCUCCUGCAUUAAAAUUUCAUGGGCGCUGCAGUAAACGCGAAGACGACGCCGGCUGCGCUGGGGGACCGUAGGGAGGGAGGCUGCGGACCAGAGCGGGGAGGAGUUUGCGAGGGGAGGCGCUUGGGAGGACUCCCCCAGUUCUGUUAAGAGCUGGGCACAAAGAGCCCUUUGCACUCCAGCCGCAGGAGCGAGGAGCAGCCGAGCUAGAUGCACAUGGGCGUGGGGACUCCGGUACAACACCAACCCACAAGACCUGGGGCGUCCAGCGCAGCCUCAAACCCAGGGCAUCUCUGCACUCUCAUCGCGACGUCGCUCUGGAUGCUGUUUGCAUAUCCUUGGGGAGUCACUGCUUUGACACAACAGUACUGCGAGGUGUUGGAAUUCCAUCUGUUCUCAUCACACGGACAUGGCUGAUCUGUCUCAGUGGCAGAAGAGUGGAGAGAUUUGGGAAAGGUCACGACUAGCCUGCAAAGCAGCCUUGCAGAUAAGUAUCAUUUCACCAGCCUGCCUGCUCUCUGCUGGUGCGUGUGAGAAAGGGUCAGCUCUGGAAUCCCCAACGGGAGGGAAGACGGCCAUCCUGUGACUCUGGCUCUUGAAGAUGUCAUUUGCAAGCUUGAAC
rnacentral:lncRNA from 1 species